CUACCCUUGACAUCCUAGGGAUCUUGCAGAGAUGCGAGAGUGCCGAAAGGAACCUAGAGACAGGUGCUGCAUGGCUGUCGUCAGCUCGUGUUGUGAGAUGUUGGGUUAAGUCCCGUAACGAGCGCAACCCUUGUCCUUAGUUGCCAACACGUAAUGGUGGGGACUCUAAGGAGACUGCCGGUGAUGAACCGGAGGAAGGCGAGGACGACGUCAAGUCAUCAUGGCCUUUAUGGGUAGGGCUACACACGUGCUACAAUGGGCAGUACAGAGGGUAGCGAACCCGCGAGGGGGAGCGAAUCCCAAAAAGCCGGUCCCGGUUCGGAUUGAAGGCUGAAACUCGCCUUCAUGAAGGCGGAGUUGCUAGUAAUCGCGGAUCAGCAAUGCCGCGGUGAAUA
rnacentral:rRNA from 1 species